AAAACCAAUGCGGGUUUCGGCCCGUUUUCUUGGUGAUUCAUGAUAACUUUUCCAAUCGCAUGGCCUUGCGCCGGCGAUGUUUCAUUCAAAUUUCUGCCCUAUCAACUGUCGAUGGUAAGGUAGUGGCUUACCAUGGUUGUAACGGGUGACGGAGAAUUAGGGUUCGAUUCCGGAGAGGGAGCCUGAGAAACGGCUACCACAUCUAAGGAAGGCAGCAGGCACGAAAAUUACCCAAUCCCAACACGGGGAGGUAGUGACAAGAAAUAACGAUACGGGGUCUACAUAGGCUUCGCAAUUGGAAUGAGUACAAUUUAAAUCCUUUAACGAGGAUCAAUUGGAGGGCAAGUCUGGUGCCAGCAGCCGCGGUAAUUCCAGCUCCAAUAGCGUAUAUUAAAGUUGUUGCAGUUAAAAAGCUCGUAGUUGGAUUUCGGAACGGGCCAGUUGGUCCGCCGCAAGGUGAGUUACUGACUGGUCUGUUCUUYUUCGSAAAGACUGCGUGUGCUCUUCAUUGASUGGGCGUAGGAUUUACGACGUUUACUUUGAAAAAAUUAGAGUGUUCAAAGCAGGCAAAGCUUGAAUACAUGAGCAUGGAAUAAUGGAAUAGGACUUUGGUCCUAUUUUGUUGGUUUCUAGGACCGAAGUAAUGAUUAAGAGGGACAAUUGGGGGCAUCCGUAUUUCGUUGUCAGAGGUGAAAUUCUUGGAUUUACGAAAGACGAACAACUGCGAAAGCACUUGCCAAGAGUGUUUUCAUUAAUCAAGAACGAAAGUUAGAGGAUCGAAGACGAUCAGAUACCGUCCUAGUUCUAACCAUAAACGAUGUCGACUAGGGAUCAGCGGGCGUUACAGACGACCUCGUUGGCACCUUACGGGAAACCAAAGUUUUUGGAUUCCGGGGGAAGUAUGGUUGCAAAGCUGAAACUUAAAGGAAUUGACGGAAGGGCACCACCAGGAGUGGAGCCUGCGGC
rnacentral:rRNA from 1 species